rnacentral:rRNA from 2 species
GGAUCCAGACUUUGAUUCUGGCUCAGGAUGAACGCUAGCUACAGGCUUAACACAUGCAAGUCGAGGGGAAACGACAUCGAGAGCUUGCUUUUGAUGGGCGUCGACCGGCGCACGGGUGAGUAACGCGUAUCCAACCUGCCCACCACUUGGGGAUAACCUUGCGAAAGUAAGACUAAUACCCAAUGACGUCUCUAGAAGACAUCUGAAAGAGAUUAAAGAUUUAUCGGUGAUGGAUGGGGAUGCGUCUGAUUAGCUUGUUGGCGGGGUAACGGCCCACCAAGGCGACGAUCAGUAGGGGUUCUGAGAGGAAGGUCCCCCACAUUGGAACUGAGACACGGUCCAAACUCCUACGGGAGGCAGCAGUGAGGAAUAUUGGUCAAUGGACGAGAGUCUGAACCAGCCAAGUAGCGUGCAGGAUGACGGCCCUAUGGGUUGUAAACUGCUUUUAUAAGGGAAUAAAGUGAGUCUCGUGAGACUUUUUGCAUGUACCUUAUGAAUAAGGACCGGCUAAUUCCGUGCCAGCAGCCGCGGUAAUACGGAAGGUCCGGGCGUUAUCCGGAUUUAUUGGGUUUAAAGGGAGCGUAGGCCGGAGAUUAAGCGUGUUGUGAAAUGUAGACGCUCAACGUCUGCACUGCAGCGCGAACUGGUUUCCUUGAGUACGCACAAAGUGGGCGGAAUUCGUGGUGUAGCGGUGAAAUGCUUAGAUAUCACGAAGAACUCCGAUUGCGAAGGCAGCUCACUGGAGCGCAACUGACGCUGAAGCUCGAAAGUGCGGGCAUCGAACAGGAUUAGAUACCCUGGUAGUCCGCACGGUAAACGAUGGAUGCCCGCUGUUGGUCUGAAUAGGUCAGCGGCCAAGCGAAAGCAUUAAGCAUCCCACCUGGGGAGUACGCCGGCAACGGUGCAACUCAAAUGAAUUGACGG